UGUGUUCCAGAAUUUUCCUGGAACCGGAGUCCCAACAAUUCCAGAAAUUACAGAACAGGUAUAAGCACAGAAGUGUCUGUCUCCUCUCCUCCUCGUCCUUGUCCAUGUUGUAUAAUUCCCCUCACCUUGUAAUGCUCUUCCUGUUGCAGUUUUGUAUGAGAAAAGCCAGUCAAGGGACACAAUGAACACAAAAAUGCUCGGCACUAAAUUUAGCUAAUAUUCGGUGGUGGGUUAACUUCAUCGUUUUGGAGGUUUUCGUUUUGGAGUUUGUUUUUUGCUGUUUUGUUUGAGGAAGGAUCUCUAGCUCUCUUAGGUCCCACUGAAACUCUAUAUAUGGCUCAGGCUGACCUCCAACUUUUUUCUAUUGCGGCAGCCUAUCCCAGAGUAUGUGCAAUUGUGCCUGGCUCAAGCCUUAUCUUUUGACUGGCACCCAACCGGCCUGAACCAUUUCUUCAGGACGUUCUACACUCACCGCCGAGUUUAAAAGACCACUUGGAAGCCCGGGAAAUCCUUUUAUUGGAUUAAAAGCCCAUCGAGUCCUGGAAGAACAGUUUAAAUUUGAAGUGAUGCAAAACCCAUGACAACAGUAAAUGACUCUUUAACUUCCUUAAAAAGUAUGCCGAUACAAUGAAGGAUGAACAGUCCUGUUUAAUUAAAACCUGUCUACUGGCCUGGGGAGAUGGAGAAAAUGAAAAUAUAUGAGUUACACAGUC
ensembl:processed_transcript BC037032 cDNA Sequence BC037032